GGUCAGUGAGACUUUUUUCGUAACAUGUAUUACGCGGUCUGACACAAAAUGCGACAAUUUACAUGUUUUUUAUUUAUACAUAUGUAUAAGCUUAUUUUUUAAUGCAUGGUUUAUUCCUGUUCGACCAUUAUUUGUUUUAACACGUCUUACUUCAUGUUUAAUUGGACCUAUUUCCGCGACAAACGUUGACAGGCAGUGCUUAGGUCUAUCCUAAACAUGGCCACCAUGAUGGAGUAAAGCUUCAACUUUAAAUUUCACAUUUUUAGAAGAAAACUUAUACAUUUUCUAUAUUUUCACAGGAAUGUUUCAACGGAAGAAAUUAUAUCAGUCAUCUUAUCCAUAUGAAAUCAUUGGAGAAAGUUUCUUGUUGGAUUUAAUAAUGGUUUAAGUUGUCUGGAAGCUGGAAACGAAAAAAAAAAUAAUUGCAUCAAUACCGGGACGUAGCAGAGGCCGAGCCCAGGUAGAGGAUGAGGACAGCAUGGACGGGACGGAGACCGCCGAAGCAGAGAACAUGCAGGAUAUGGAAGUUAAGGAGCUGGUUCUGGAUGUCGAGGAGGAGAUCAUGGUGCCUAGCCCCAGGGACGACAGACCCCUCUCCCCACUCUUCCAGCGCUCCGUGUCGGAGGACUCUGCAGGAUCCUCCGCCUCGACCCUGGAGCACGCCAAAGUCCGGUAAGAGGAAGAGACGAUGUGAGUUGAGUAGGGUGAGGGGAAGAGAGUGACAUAGAAAGAGUGUGCGUGCGUGCCAGAUGGCCAGAAUAAGGCAAAGCAGGAGAUGGCAGCAGGGA
rnacentral:lncRNA from 1 species